rnacentral:rRNA from 1 species
CCCGGGCCUUGUACACACCGCCCGUCACACCAUGGGAGGUGGAUUACCUUAAGACGGUGCGCCAACCGCAAGGGGGCAGCCGGCCACGGUAGUUUCAGCGACUGGGUG